GAUAUCUUAACAAUAUUGACAGAUACAACUCUGAAGAUGAAGGCUACAGAGCAGGCUUUCCAGAACUUUGAGAAGGAGCAGAAGAAAGCUAAUCAGGCCAAGUACUUAGUGAGAGAGUUGAAUCUGUGGCUGAGCAACAGAUAAGAGAAAUGGGUACCAACCUGGCCCACUUGACUACAGAUGAGCAGAAAUUGUUAGAACAAGCGCUGAAAACUUACCCUGCCAGUACCCCUGAGAGAUGGGAGAGAAUAGCUGAGGCUGUUCCAACAAGGAGUAAAAAGGAUUGCAUGAAGAGAUAUAAGGAAUUGGUGGAACUAAUUCGAGCAAAGAAAGCAGCCCAAGAAGCAGCAAAAGCUAAAAAGUGAUCAAUGGAGGCAAAUAGAAUAGCUAAAAUUCAACAGAAGAAAACAACAGCUAAAAGACUUAUUGUACAGUUUAAUAAUUCAGAAUAGAUGUGAUUGAAACAUGCAGUUUAUGAAAGCAUCCAAUAAAAUAAUGUAUAUUAAGUAC